rnacentral:rRNA from 1 species
UAUACCGCGAAACUGCGAAUGGCUCAUUAUAUAAGUUAUCGUUUAUUUGAUAGUACCUUACUACUUGGAUAACCGUGGUAAUUCUAGAGCUAAUACAUGCUGAAAAUCCCGACUUCGGAAGGGAUGUAUUUAUUAGAUUAAAAACCAAUGCCCUUCUGGGCUCUCUGGUGAUUCAUGAUAACUUCUCGAAUCGCACGGCCUCGCGCCGGCGAUGGUUCAUUCAAAUUUCUUCCCUAUCAACUUUCGAUGUUUGGGUAGUGGCCAAACAUGGUUGCAACGGGUAACGGAGGGUUAGGGCUCGACCCCGGAGAAGGAGCCUGAGAAACGGCUACUACAUCCAAGGAAGGCAGCAGGCGCGCAAAUUACCCAAUCCCGACACGGGGAGGUAGUGACAAUAAAUACUGAUACAGGGCUCUUUCGGGUCUUGUAAUUGGAAUGAGUACAAUUUAAAUCCCUUAACGAGGAACAAUUGGAGGGCAAGUCUGGUGCCAGCAGCCGCGGUAAUUCCAGCUCCAAUAGCGUAUAUUAAAGUUGUUGUGGUUAAAAAGCUCGUAGUUGAACCUUGGGCCUGGCUGGCCGGUCCGCCUCACCGCGUGUACUGGUCCGGCCGGGCCUUUCCCUCUGUGGAACCCCAUGCCCUUCACUGGGCGUGGCGGGGAAACAGGACGUUUACUUUGAAAAAAUUAGAGUGCUCCAGGCAGGCCUAUGCUCGAAUACAUUAGCAUGGAAUAAUGAAAUAGGACGCGCGGUUCUAUUUUGUUGGUUUCUAGGACCGCCGUAAUGAUUAAUAGGGACAGUCGGGGGCAUCAGUAUUCAAUUGUCAGAGGUGAAAUUCUUGGAUUUAUUGAAGACUAACUACUGCGAAAGCAUUUGCCAAGGAUGUUUUCAUUAAUCAGGAACGAAAGUUAGGGGAUCGAAGACGAUCAGAUACCGUCGUAGUCUUAACCAUAAACUAUGCCGACUAGGGAUCGGACGAUGUUAUUUUUUGACUCGUUCGGCACCUUACGAGAAAUCAAAGUGCUUGGGCUCCAGGGGGAGUAUGGUCGCAAGGCUGAAACUUAAAGGAAUUGACGGAAGA